ACCAAGUUGCCCGAGCGGUCUAAGGGGGUGCACUUAAGAUGCACUGUACGUAUGUACUCGUGGGUUCGAACCCCACACUUGGUA
rnacentral:tRNA from 1 species